rnacentral:rRNA from 1 species
GUUAUGAGCAAUGGGGUGACGCAGAAGGAUAGUGACGCGAGCUGAUGGAUGCUCGUCCAAGCAGUGAGGCUGGUGUGCAGGCAAAUCCGCACACCGUAAGGCUGGGCUGUGAUGGGGAGGGAAAUUUAAGUACCGAAGGUCAUGAGUUCAGGCUGCCAAGAAAAGCCUCUAGCCAGGGAGAAGGUGCCCGUACCGCAAACCGACA